rnacentral:rRNA from 1 species
GCUAAGGCCCCCAAAUGAUGGCUAAGUGGGAAAGCAUGUAGGACGGCCAUAACAACCAGGAGGUUGGCUUAGAAGCAGCCAUCCUUUAAAGAAAGCGUAAUAGCUCACUGGUCUAAUAGCUGUCCCGCGGCGAAAAUGUAACGGGGCUCAAGCCAUCUGCCGAAGCUGUGGAUGCACGAAAGUGCGUGGUAGCGGAGCGUUCCCUAAGCCUGCGAAGCGGGACCCGCGAGGGCCCGUGGAGGUAUGGGAAGUGCGAAUGCGGACAUGAGUAGCGACAAAGCGGGUGAGAAACCCGCUCGCCGAAAGUCCAAGGGUUCCUGCGCAAGGUUAAUCCGCGCAGGGUGAGCCGGCCCCUAAGGCGAGGGCGACAGCCGUAGCCGAUGGAAACCAGGUCAAAAUUCCUGGGCCCGUCAG